UGAUGUAACGUAAAAUGUAUUAGUCGUUUCACCUAUAAUCUUUAUUAAACCAAAUCAAAUGAGUUCAAUAAGGUGACCCCGUUUUGCGCAUGCGUGAGACCGCGCGUUUUCACUGCCACCUGCAUUCCGUUUGUCCAUCCACCAUUUUCCACCUGUGGCUGAAGACGAGUUGAUGAGACGCCCCCGAUAACAAGAAGUCAUUUCUUUGUUUGAUCAGCUUUACAGGGUUCCUUCUGGCAACCUCCUAGUGAUAGUUAGUGUAUGUGGCAGUGCAAAAAAUGCAGUUUGGAACUAGAUAGCAGUUCUCAGACGUCUUAAAAUUGUGCAGCAGAGACCAAUGAUAGAAGAGUUCAAAAACAGAUGGCCUGCACUGUUUGAAGAGAAUGAAGUAGAUUUGUGCUGUGAAUGCAGAGUUCUUGCGAAUCACCACCAAGUCACUACAAUCAAAGUUCUUGUCACAGCUGGAUCACUUCUCUGACACAGAUCUUCAUGAAGAAAGGAGGAAUGAAGGGGCAAAGGAUCAAGGAUGUCCUGGCGAAUAAUGAUUUGUGUGAUGACAUCAACACCAAAAGGGAGUGCCUCCUGAGAAGCCUUGUCAUCUACCUCAGUGAAGAUCCUGACUUAUUUUUUUAAGGCAUAUUUGGUCUCUGGCACUGAGGAUGUGGAGAGGGACAUCUCAAGCACAAUCAUGGGGAUUUACAUUAUUCGAAGUUAUGACAAUGGGGAGCCAGAGGAUGUGGGAAUUGUGAUUGAAGGCAUUAAAGUCCUGACCAACGUAGGCAGUGUCAUCAUGGGUUUCAUCGUGUUGUUUGGGCUAAUUUAUGCCCUUGACCUGAGCUUUCCAGAAAACCUCAAGUACACCUUUGAGUUCAUCCAGAAAAUCAUUAUGAAUCUGGAUGGACACAAGCUCAAUCCAAAGAUACAGCAGCUGAAAAUCAAAUUGCAAAUCAAACAUCUGCACGUCGUAGCUCAUUCAAAUACAGUAUUGUGUCUCCAUUACUCUCGUACCUGUCAGGUGAUUGCAUGACUCAACACUUUUUGAAAUGGACUUGAAUUGAUGUUGAAACCGGAUUCAACACACUACAGAUUUUUGAAUUAUGACUGGCCAGACCAAUACUCGCACAGCUAGUCAAAUGUUCAGAGAUUGUUUGUACAAGAUUUGGUGACAAUGGGUCUCCUUCUUAUAAGUAUACUGUCUUGGUCUGUUUUCACCUUCCUAUAGCCCAAAUUUGGUCCCCACAGCCAGUUUUUUUUUUUUUUUUUUAACUGUGUUUUUGUUUGAAUUGACCAUUUGUACUACACAUAUUGAAAAUGCUGUACCUCUUGAGUAGCCAGACAUUUUUCAUUUCCUUACUGUGCUCAUGUUAUGCCGUUUAAGAAAUGUUACAAAAAUGUUUGCUGCUUUACAUUUCAUUAAAUGUGCUCCGUUUUAGGUAGAUUUUCUUUUUUUUUUUUUUUGUGCAUUAACAUGCAAGACUGGUUUUACAUCUCUUGGUUUUAAGGUCUGACAUACUACAAUUUAAAUUAGUCAAGUAAAACAGGCAGUAGUUUCUGCCUCUAUUGUUCAACAUAUAUCUAUAUAUAUUGUGCUAAUUUUAAUGCAGGUUAUAAUUAAGUUGAAUGUUGAUCAAGCUAGCAUUCAGAUUUAUUGGAAUAUUUUCAUUUUGCAUACUUUGCUGGUGCCUCUACUCCCUUAAUGUGUUUGUGGCUUUGGGGGACAUGGGAUACAUUUAGUUCACACCAAGUGCAAGACCUGUGGAAGUGUUUCUAACAGUUUUUUUUCCAAUAAAAAA